UUCGGUAGUUUAUAGCUCUGCCGCUGAAGGUAGGUUGUCACACAGGGGUUCAUGCUCACAUUACUAGGAUUAGGGAACCUCGAUCAUUUUUCCGAAACAUGCACUACCCCUCCAGUUUCAUGGCAUGUCAUUUCAGCCAUAAUUUUGUUGUAGGUUUGCAUAGAUAAAUUAGUAGCACUCGUGGUUUCAAAGUGUGUGUUUCAUGGGUAUUAGCUUUGUUCAAGAGUCAUAACUCUAAUUACAUUUUUUAGCCAUAAUUCUGAUGUAUGGAAAUAAUCAGUGAUUCUUUCUUCUUUAUCUGGCCAUAAUUCUAAUAGGUUAACUGAGCCAUCAAUGCGCUCUUCUUCCUCCCCAGCCGCCUCAACCCCGCCCCCACCCCCGCCUCUCGCCUCUCGCGCGCGCGCCGCCGCCAUCGCCUUCCCCGUCCUCCCUCGCCGGGACAUCGCGUUCCCGCUGUCUCCACCCCCGUCCCAGGCGAUUGGGUUUCGAGGUAUGGGGUUGUUUCACCUAGCGAUUUGUUAAAUCAGACCGAGCUUCACAAUUUUGGGGUGUGCCGGUGUGCCCACGUGGCACGCCAUCUUGAUCCGCCGCAGUUUGGAGAGGAGUGUUAUUGAGCAGAAUUGUAGAUAUUCCCUGAUAGGAUUAUACCAGUCUCAGGAUAAAGAGUUGGGCCCUUAUUAAUUGUGCAGAAAUUUAAAAAAACUUAUUGCUCAAUAGUUUCGCACUAUCCUAUUCAACAAGCUGUACAAAAAAUUGCCGGGGGAAAACAAAAUUUGACUUUAAGAUGCAGAUUGAAAUCCAUCAGGCGCUUUGACUUCUAGGGAGCAUUCAUGUGUUGUCCUAUGGUCUGUUAAACAUCAUGAUAUUCCUGUCUAAUGGAAUAAACAAGAUAGUAUUCUUGAACAAAUGCUAUACACAGACUCGUUGUAUGCCUCAUUUGCUUCGCCUUUCCUGCUUAAUCUCUCACAAGUGACCUCUGCUGCUCAUACUUUCGCCUACUUAAUGCAUGCAUAAGUCUACAAUUCUUUGUGUAUAUAGUGAAAUGGGUGUAUGACAGGUUCUUUGUUUUCAAUUUUGUAGCUUAGGUACUGGGAUCUUCUUUGAAGUAAUUGAAGCUAUCCUAAUUGACAAACUAAAUUCAGUGGGUUAUACUGAGAAUCGAUACUCUGCUCAGCUGUAUUUUUACUGAAACAUGGCAUGUUGUUUUUGUUACUCGUACCAAGGUUCAGGACCUUGAUAAGUUGGUUGAUGAUCCAUGUAGUUUUGACUUACCAUGAUCUGAAUAUGUAUGUCAGUAUAUCUCUAGAUCGUAAUUGAAUAUGUAGUUUUGGCUAAAUGACUGGGAUGUGUAUGUCAUGUUUAAUUGAAUUUAGAUGCUUAUUCAAUCUGAAUUUAAAUGUUUUAUCACUCGCCAGGUCUUUGUUUGUGAUUUCUAGGGCUGUAAACUGUAAUUAAUCAUCUUCAUCUGUUGUCUAUUAUACUACCGCUGGGCUCAUGCACUUGGAAUUCUUUGCCACCUGAUAAUUAGUGAAGGUAGUAUAUCUCUAGAUCGUAAUUGGAGUGCCAACACUUCUAACAGCUGGGUGAGAAAUUAAUGCUUAAUUAUCCUUUAUUUAACUUUAUGCUAACACAUUAGAUUAUCUGGUGAAGCACAUGUUUCAUCUUGCAUUCCCUACUUGUACAAACUGUAGACGGACAAUACAUUAGCUCUAAUCUCAGACACUGAUUAAUUAACUAUAUUACUAAUCGAAGAGCCUGCUGUUUCCUGGGAGCUGGUAAUACUACUGGCUUACUCUUUGGAACCUUCGGUUGAUCUAUACAUGUGUAGCUAUAGCUGCUUUUCUCCAUGGCGCAUUUCGUGUAGAUACGUAGAGAUGUUGAUUAGUAAAUGCAUGCAAACUGAAUUCUGUAUUAGUUUCCCAGCCAGUAGCAUCAUUGAAACGGCGGUUCUUCUCCAUGCGAGUUAAACGAAUUGCUUGGGUGAGAUUUUGUUAGGAUAAUCUCAGAGGUUGCUAGCGAUCAGUAGAGUUACUCAUAGUACUAAUACAUGUGCAAUUUUCUUUAAUUAAUUUUGGUGCUUCUCCUGAUUGAAGAUGGUCGUGACCAAUUUUAGAACUUUAAAACCCCAUUAAACAUUGUUGGUAUGAAUUGGGUUUGGAAAAUACUCGAUCGAGCAGCUCCUUUGUUCUACAUUUUGGUUCAGCCUUACACACUUCACCGGGUAUAUGAAUUUAUUUAGAUGUAUGUAGAUACUUAGGCGUACUGGGACCCACUGUAUUCCUUUUAUUUUUGUAACCUCACAUUGAAAUAUCUAACUUUUUGUAUAAUGGAUCUUUUCAGAGAAUUUCCACGGCACCUAAAAAACAAGAGUUUCAAUUGUAUAAAGAAAUCCAUGUGUGACAGAACCUUUACACAAGGAGGGCAACAGCGUCGACAUGGCAAUCGAGUAACUCCUAAAUGCGGAGAAGCAGUGUUGCCUGGCUGGCGAUGUGGCCAGCACUAGGAAGGACAUCGUCGAGCUCUCCUUCAAGGAUGGCGCCUGGAAGACGCUUAACUACCAGAUCGUUGUCCUCUCUAAGAGGAGGAGGGCCAGCUCAAGUAGAGAAUGGCGUCACCUGGGAGGACGGCAGCGGCGUGCCCGUGUUCGCGGAGUACAACCUCGACGAGCUCCGCGCCUCCACCGACGGCUUCGCAACGGACCACAUCGUCUUCGAGCACUACGAGAAGGAGCCUAACGCCAUCUACCACGGGCCCUCUUCAGCUCUGGCACCACCGUCGCCAUCAAGCUCUUCUACCGCUCCGCCUGGCCUGAAGCACGCCAAUUCAUGGAGGAGGCUAGGGCAGUUGGGCUGCUGCAGAGCGUUCGCUUGUCCAACCUCAUCGGAUGAUGCUACGAGGGUGGCGAGCGGCUGCUCGUUGCUGAGUUCAUGACGCAUGAUACCUUGGCAGCUGUGAUUCAUAGUGUGGUUAGCGUUUGUUAAGUUUACUAGCUCCUUCAUUGCUGAUGGGUCGCUGGU